rfam:Sorghum bicolor cultivar BTx623 chromosome 8, whole genome shotgun sequence.
UGAUUGGAUCUAUUUAGAUCCAUCCAUAUAAUUUUUAGCAAGCUCU